rnacentral:rRNA from 1 species
GUGUCAGCAGCCGCGGUAAUACAGAGACUGCAAGCGUUAUUCGGAUUCACUGGGCGUAAAGGGUGCGCAGGCGGCCAAGUGUGUGAGGCGUGAAAGCCCGGGGCUUAACCCCGGAAUUGCACCUCAAACUACAUGGCUAGAGCAUUGGAGAGGGUAGCAGAAUUCAUGGUGUAGCAGUGAAAUGCGUAGAUAUCAUGAGGAAUACCAGAGGCGAAGGCGGCUACCUGGACAAUUGCUGACGCUCAGGCACGAAAGCGUGGGGAGCAAAAGGGAUUAGAAACCCCUGUAGUCC